rnacentral:misc_RNA from 1 species
UUAAGUUCAGCGGGUAGUCCUACUUGAUUUGAGGUCAGAUGUUCAGAGAUUGUCCCGAGGGACGGUUAGAAGCUUGAACAUUUAAUUCACCGAGACGAAGCAACGUAGACAAUUAUCACGCUGAAUCAUGCUUGGUACUAUUCAAGCUAAUGCAUUUCAGAGGAGCCGACUUCUGAAUCAAAAGAUCCAGAUGCCUGCAA